rnacentral:tRNA from 1 species
GGUAUCGUUCCCGAGCGGUCAAAGGGGUGAGACUUAAGAUCUUAUGCAUUAUGCUUCGUGGGUUCGAAUCCCACCGAUACCA